CUUACAUCUCUUGCAGUCUACAUUUUCCCUCUCUCCAUAUCUCUCGCUCUCAAAAUCUUUCUUAGGGUUGGAAGGAUUGAGGUAUAAAAUCAUAUGGAAGCUUUUAGCUAGUUUGUUUGUCGGGUGUCUACAGAUGAUCCUCUUUGUAUUCUUCCACAGCUUUCUUGAACUGCAUCCGAUCGCAUCAUCCUCACUCUUGCAAAUUUAGGUAUCAAAAGGCCAUUCAAUCGUUGCAGUUCAAUAAAGCUGUGGGAAAAUACGGAGAGGGUCAAAAAUAUUCGAUCGGAUAUGGGUUUGGAUUCAUUUACUGCUGUUUUGCAUGGUUUCCAUUGCAGACAAAGUAUGAACUGGCAUAUAAAUAAAGAUUGCAACAUCACCAGUGAUGAUCUAUUCCCAUUAGAAUAUGGCCGCUAAAGGAUUUUCAAGAUUUUAAGGGUGUGUAAGGUUUGAAGGUAGGAUUUGGGAAAGAUAGAUGGGUAGUGAUGGAGGUAAAUGCUUUCAUAAAGCCUAUCUCAUGAUGUAGUGGGUAUGUGGCUUAAUUGUGAGAUGAGGUGUUCCAAAAUUAUUGAUGUGCUUUUUAGUAAUUUCACUUGAGGUUAUCAUUGUAAUAAAAAUUAAAAAAUAAGGGUCUAAAAUAAUUGAUGGAGUGCUAAUAACCGCACUCAUAAACAACACUGUGAAUCCCAUUCAAAAUCUUGUUUGGUUGGUAAAAAAAUAAAUGAAAUUAACAAUCCUAUGGAAGACGGGAUUCACAAUCCAAUCUCAUGGGAAUGGAUAUAAAAAGACAUUAUUACCCCACUUUAUAAAAAGAAUAAAGGAUUAACUACUUAAAAGUCCUAUCUACAUAUUUGGUGGUAGCUUAGGUCCUGUUAAAAAGCUUUUCAACCAGUAAGUCCCAUUUACAAGUAAAAAGACGUUUUGCCCUUUAAUCCCAAAAUUGAGAAUGUUCUCA